GCCUGAGUGGCGGAAUGGUAGACGCGACGGACUCAAAAUCCGUUUCCCCCAAAGGAGUAAGGGUUCAAGUCCCUUCUCAGGUA
rnacentral:tRNA from 1 species